GACGAACGCUGGCGGCGUGCUUAACACAUGCAAGUCGAACGGAAAGGCCCUGCUUUUGUUGGGUGCUCGAGUGGCGAACGGGUGAGUAACACGUGAGUAACCUGCCCUUGACUUUGGGAUAACUUCAGGAAACUGGGGCUAUUACCGGAUAUGAGCUCCUGCUGCAUGGUGGGGGUUGGAAAGUUUCGGCGGUUGGGGAUGGACUCGCGGCUUAUCAGCUUGUUGGUGGGGUAGUGGCUUACCAAGGCUUUGACGGGUAGGCGGCCUGAGAGGGUGACCGGCGACAUGAGGACUGAGAUACGGCCCCGACUCCUACGGGAGGCAGCAGUGGGGAAUAUUGCACAAUGGGCGGAAGCCUGAUGCAGCAACGCCGCGUGCGGGAUGACGGCCUUCGGGUUGUAAACCGCUUUCGCCUGUGACGAAGCGUGAGUGACGGUAAUGGGUAAAGAAGCACCGGCUAACUACGUG
rnacentral:rRNA from 1 species